UACAGAGGUCCCAAGCGUUGUUCGGAUUUACUGGGCGUAAAGGGCGCGUAGGCGGCCAGCACAAGUCAGUUGUGAAAUCUCCGAGCUUAACUCGGAAAGGUCAACUGAUACUGUGCGGCUAGAGUGCGGAAGGGGCAACUGGAAUUCUUGGUGUAGCGGUGAAAUGCGUAGAUAUCAAGAGGAACACCUGCGGCGAAGGCGGGUUGCUGGGCCGACACUGACGCUGAGGCGCGAAAGCCAGGGGAGCAAACGGG
rnacentral:rRNA from 1 species